rnacentral:misc_RNA from 1 species
CCGAGUUUUUAAAGCUCUCUAUUCCUGAUGUGAAUUUAUAAAACUUGUUGUGCUUCGGCAGUUGCCUUAAAAUUUUUUUUUUUUUAAAAAAAAAAAAAAAAAGAGGAGAGAACAUAUGCCGAAGGAAAUUUAAAUGCUGUCAUGUUAAAUUUCAAAACGUAUAUUAAAAAUAUAAAAACUUUUAGCAACGGAUCUCUUGGCUCUAGCAUCGAUGAAGAACGCAGCGAAAUGCGAUAAGUAAUGCGAAUUGCAGAAUCUAGUGAGUCAUCGAAUCUUUGAACGCAUAUUGCGCCUACUAGCUAUUCUAGUAGGCAUGCCUAUUUGAGCGUCAUUAUAAGCAUUUAUACUCUGUAUAGUGUUGGAGAAUAGCGGAAAUAGCUAUCUCUAAAAUAUAGAAGCAAGCUCUCUUCUUUAUCCCUUGCAAAAGUAAUAAUAUAGGUUGCAAGGGGAGAAAGAAGAAGGAGAGUCUUUUCUUUUUAAA